GGCAGUUGGCUUGAAGAAGGCUGUGAGGGGGAGCUGUAGGGAGACAGACUAUAAGCUCCAUGCGAGCAAGGACCAAACAGGAUUUAUCCACUACUGUGCAACUAGCUCUCAGGUGUCACAGGAUCUGUGUCCACAGCCUCCCUCCUCACAAGGAGAGCUUCCCGGGAAGGCUCACCCUGACCAAGUGAGGGAUUUGGAGUCUGAGAGCCCUGCUGUGUCCUGAGGACUCACCAGGCGUGAGAAGGAAACGGCUUCUAGGAAGAUAACAGGAAGGAGCACCUUUCUAUCAUUUGUCCUCAUUUUCAAUUCGUUCAAGAAACAUGGCAGAAUCAGGAUUCACAUCCCUCCACCACUCUCCCGUACUGAUGGCUUCCUGAGGUGCGAGCAGUUAUGUCCUUGAGGCCUCAGAAGCCCAUGUGUUUGCCUGGAGACAUUUGGACAAAACCUGGCGGGGACAGGAGCCAGGCUGGAGGAGGAACCGAAUCCUGCGGAGGCCGUGGCAGGCCAUCAAGAGAAGAGGAGGAGAGAGGAGACAGCAUGAGCAGGGG